CGUCUAUAUACGUAUAGCAUAUCAAUAAGCGGAGGAAAAGAAACUAACUAGGAUUCCCUUAGUAACGGCGAGUGAAGCGGGAAGAGCUCAAAUUUGAAAUCUUCAAGGUUUUACCUUGACGAAUUGUAGUUUAAAGAAGUGUUUUCUGUUGGAGUUUUGGUAAAAGUUCUUUGGAAUAGGACAUCAUAGAGGGUGAGAAUCCCGUAUUUGACCAGUUAUUUCAGCUGUGUGAUACACUUUCAAAGAGUCGGAUUGUUUGGGAAUGCAGUCCAAAAUGGGUGGUAAAUUUCAUCUAAAGCUAAAUACUGGCGAGAGACCGAUAGCGAACAAGUACCGUGAGGGAAAGAUGAAAAGAACUUUGAAAAGAGAGUUAAACAGUACGUGAAAUUGUCAAAAGGGAAGCGUUUGACACCAGUGUUGUUUUCUCGAAAAUCAAUUAAAAAUGGCUAGAUUUUGUGUUGUAUUGACUUUAUCAAGCUUUCUGCACUUUUUUCAUUGUCUUUUUUAAUGCACUUUUCGUUUAACAAGUCAACAUCAGUUUCUUUGCUGUAAAAGAGUCAUUGGAAGGUGGCUUUCUUUUCGGAGAAAGUGUUUAUAGCCUUUGACUUCUGCAAUCGGAGAGAUUGAGGUCUGCAGCGUAGAUCCUUCGGGGUUAGAUGCAUUUGUGCUAAGUUAUAGCCUUUCAUAGACAACUUGUUGACUAUGAUCAGUCAUGUAGCUUACUCGCUUAUGUCAUUUUACCUACGCUUAGGAUGUUGAUCUGUAGUGCGUGCGC
rnacentral:rRNA from 1 species